UACGGGGGGGGGCAAGCGUUGUUCGGAUUCAUUGGGCGUAAAGGGUGCGUAGGCGGCGCGGUAAGUCGGGUGUGAAAUCUCGGAGCUUAACUCCGAAACUGCAUUCGAUACUGCCGUGCUUGAGGACUGGAGAGGAAGGCAGAAUUCCCGGUGUAGCGGUGAAAUGCGUAGAGAUCGGGAGGAAUACCAGUGGCGAAGGCGGCCUUCUGGACUGACACUGACGCUGAGGCGCGAAAGCCAGGGGAGCAAACGGG
rnacentral:rRNA from 1 species